GUAGCAGCCUUGAGGGGGCACACCCGGCAUCGACAAACAUAAUCCCCCUAAGACGAAGAUAGACCCAACAGCUGCUCACUGAUCUCCCACACCUUCCGGGCUUUCUCUGCGUCGCUGGCUUCCGCUGACAGCUGGUUCUCGAACGAUGCUGAAUUCUUGUUCCAGCUCCAGUAUACCCCGGACUUUGUCAGGCUUGGAUCACUCACCACCUGAGCGAGUCUCUUGCCGGCGUCUUCCUCGGAGACGUAGCCCUUGGUGAUAUACUUCUGGAAUGGCGGGAAGAGGGUGCGAAACAAGGGGACGUGCUCCCUGAAGAGGCCAGUGGUGGCAAUGCAGCCGGGGUAGAGUGAAGCAAAUGUGAUCCCCGUCUCCUCGUGGUAGCGCCGGUGGAACUCUUGCAUCAUGAGCAUGUUGCAGACCUUGCUGUCCUUGUAUGCUUUUGCGCCAUCAAAGCUUCCUCCAUCGAUCAUGUCGGAACCGUUCAGUCCAUUCAGUCCCCCUUGGAGCCCCCGCAGGUCUCCCAGGUUCGCCUUCGGAGGAACAUUCCCGGCCAGGGUGUUUGUGUUACCUGUUAUGGAGCCAACGAUGAUGAGACGCUUCGACGGAUAAUCAGAUUUCUUCAAGUCAUCAAGGAGCAAGCGAGCGAGGAGAAAGUGGCCGAGGUGGUUGACACCAACACUCAUCUCGAAACCAUCCGCAGUAUAGAUGGGUUUGUUAGCAGUCGGAAAGUAUACUGCUGCGUUACACACAAUGACAUCGAGCGGUAUCUCGGCACGUCGGACAUUGUUGACGAACUGACGGACGCUAUCUAGAGAGGCAAGGUCUAGGUGCAUGAUGGUGUAGUUCUCUUUGGACAUGCCAACUGACUUGGCUGCUUUCUCUGUCUUGAGGAAGUCCCGGCAUGCCAUGAUUACGUGCCACUUCCCGGUCUCGGCCAAGGCCUUGGCCGUGGCGAGCCCGAGGCCAGAUGAGGCUCCGGUGAUGAUGACGUUUCCCUUCCUCAGAGUCUUCUUCCCUUCAGAGGCAGCUCGGUUGAUCGAGGGUGUGGUGACUGCUGUUGUUUGGGCUCUUAUGCCCACUGAUACAUUCACCAUCUUGCUCUUGUGUACCAGAGGAUUGAAUUCG
rnacentral:misc_RNA from 1 species